GAUUUUGAUGGCUCAAACUUCCAUCACAGCCUUCACUGGAAACAUCUGUAGGGGUGGAAGCCAAGACUUUCCAGUCUGCUUUAUUCCUCUCGCAGCAGGAUACAGAUAGCAGUAGAAAGAAGAACGGCAAACUCCUAAGCAGUCCUUCUGGGGAGAUGAAACCUUUGAAGUCAUCAACAACACAGGCAGCAGGUACCCUUGUGCUGAACGAACAACUUAUUUUCCCC
rnacentral:lncRNA from 1 species